GAUGAAGAACGUAGUGAAAUGCGAUAAGUAGUGUGAAUUGCAGAAUUCAGUGAAUCAUCGAAUCUUUGAACGCACAUUGCGCCCCUUGGUAUUCCAUGGGGCAUGCCUGUUCGAGCGUCAUCUACACCCUCAAGCACUGCUUGGUGAUGGGCGUCUGUCCCGCCUCCGCGCGCGGACUCGCCCCAAAGGCAUUGGCAGCGGUCCUGACCGCCUCUCGCGCAGCACAUUUGCGCUUUUCGAGGCAUCGGAGGCCUGCGUCCACGAAGCCCAUCUUUAUUUUUUGACCUCGGAUCAGGUAGGGAUACCCGCUGAACUUAAGCAUAUCAAAAGCGGAGGA
rnacentral:misc_RNA from 1 species